rnacentral:rRNA from 1 species
GGGCCCGCACAAGCGGUGGAGCAUGUGGUUUAAUUCGAUGCAACGCGAAGAACCUUACCUACUCUUGACAUCCAGAGAACUUUCCAGAGAUGGAUUGGUGCCUUCGGGAACUCUGAGACAGGUGCUGCAUGGCUGUCGUCAGCUCGUGUUGUGAAAUGUUGGGUUAAGUCCCGCAACGAGCGCAACCCUUAUCCUUUGUUGCCAGCGGUUAGGCCGGGAACUCAAAGGAGACUGCCAGUGAUAAACUGGAGGAAGGUGGGGAUGACGUCAAGUCAUCAUGGCCCUUACGAGUAGGGCUACACACGUGCUACAAUGGCGCAUACAAAGAGAAGCGACCUCGCGAGAGCAAGCGGACCUCAUAAAGUGCGUCGUAGUCCGGAUUGGAGUCUGCAACUCGACUCCAUGAAGUCGGAAUCGCUAGUAAUCGUAGAUCAGAAUGCUACGGUGAAUACGUUCCCGGGCCUU